rnacentral:rRNA from 1 species
ACUCCUACGGGAGGCAGCAGUGGGAAUAUUGCGCAAUGGGCGAAAGCCUGACGCAGCAACGCCGCGUGCGGGAUGAAGGCCUUCGGGUUGUAAACCGCUUUCAGCAGGGACGAAAAUGACGGUACCUGCAGAAGAAGCUCCGGCUAACUACGUGCCAGCAGCCGCGGUAAUACGUAGGGAGCAAGCGUUGUCCGGAUUUAUUGGGCGUAAAGGGCUCGUAGGUGGUUCGGUAAGUCGGAUGUGAAAAAUCUGGGCUCAACCCAGUCAAGCAUCCGAUACUGCUGU